GGACCGUUCCGGUGGACUAGUGGUUAGAGUGUCCGCCUCAGAUGCGGACGGAUGUGGGUUCGAUACCUGGCUGUUUCA